GUAGCUGUACACCGUGGAAAAGGCUUCGCUGUUGUGCUCAAGAAUUAAGCACCCGUAUAAGGAAGAGAGGAUAAAAUGAGACGUAGGAGCGUCAAACCACUUGAUGAAGCAGUGCAACAUGUCAGCAGUGCUAGUGUACUGGAGCAUAACUCAGUAAAUCCUUAUAAAGGUCGUGGUGUAUUUGCCCUGGCGCCUUUGAAUAAAGAAGAUUUUGUGGUGGAAAACAGAGGGGAACUGAUAGACUUCCUUGAAUCAGAGAGAAGGAAGAAGCAUCGAUGCAACAAGAGAGGACGACACCCAUGGCCAUCUAGUGAACGAUGAGCACAAAGGCCCUAACUAGAAUGAAAAAGAUCAUUGUCCAAGGAAAACCACAUCUCUGCCUUUUUGCAAUUAGAGACAUAAUGCCUGGGGAGGAAAUAACCUACGACUAUGGAGGAAGUGACUGGCCUUGGAGGAAAAAGUCUACCUAUGAGGACACUGCUACCAUGAUGAUAGACAUGGUUGAAACAAUUGGUCCUGUGACCAAUGCUGAAGCUUCCUCUUUGGACUUAAAGCCUGCUUAUAAGAACAGUGCUAACAUGAUGGAUGUGGUUGAAUCAAUCUACUCAGCUUCAGGUCCUGUUACCAAUGCUGAAAUUUCCUGUUCUGGCUUAAAGCCUGGUGAAUCCACUCCUAAACAUGGAAAAACUCGGAUCCAGGCUUUGUGCUCUUUCGCAACACCUCCCCCACCAGGUAUAACUGAUGGUGUUUGGAAGCUCAUAAAUGCCAUGAACCAAGAUAGUGGCACUUGCAGUCCAGAAUGACCAGAGUAUUACUGAGUUUGGAAAGCAUCUAUAUAAUAAGUAUGGAUCGCGGGUUAAAAUGCAUGAAUACAUCCGUCAGAAGAUACGAGAGCUUGGAAGACUCCUAAUAUGCGCACAAGAGAUAACACCCCUUAAGUGCAUCAAAGAUCUUAUCCGUCCUGAAGACUUUAUGCACACAGUCACUGCAGUUAAGCACACAGCUGGCUACAACAAAGACACAGAUAAAUAUCAAUCAGCAAGUGUUGCGGUGAAACUUGGGCAUAGCCUGAACAAAGUUGCUAUGCUUGUGGAAAGCAGUGCCACCAUAGAAGCAGACAAAGCAACAGCAAAAGAGGCCAGGAGUUUCCAAAAAAAUCUAUGGCUCCAGAUGGCAUGAGUAUAUUUCAGCCACAGCUCGCAGAACACUGGAGCAAGCCAAAUGGAACUCUUCCUCGGUUGCUUCCUUUCACUGAAGAUGUUAAACGUCUUCACUUGUAUCUUGAUGAGCACCAUUACCGUAAAAUUGUCAGCAGAGCCUUCCUCUCAGCACUGGUCACAAUUGGCAAAAGUUACACUUACACAAAUCAUGCUGUUUAAUCGCAGACAUGAAGUUACUCAAAUGCCCUUAACAUUUCCAGAGAUGCAUCAGAUCCUCAUCCAGAUGUUAGUCUGGCCCUCUCAGAAUUGGAAAAGAAGCUUUGUCAACACUUCAAACGCAUAGAGAUCAGAGGCAAGAGGCAGGAAGGCUGCUGUUCUUGUAACUCCAACAAUGCAAGACUCGCUUGACCUGCUCGUUCAACAUCGUAGUAAAUGUGGAGUACUUCAGGAAAAUGUCUACCUCUUUGCACGACCUUUUGCAGUGACCUGCUUUCGAGGCUCAGACUGCAUCAGGGAUUUGUGACAAUGUGACAGGUCUUGAUGCAGCCAUGUCAUUACCACACGACAAUACAAAUCAAGUCGAUGAGGAUCCAGACCAAGUGGUGAGGUCAGAUGAAAAUGUGAGAGGUCCCAGUAAGAAAACACCUUGGAACAGUAAUGAAGUCUGUGCUGUGGAGAAGCACAUGAUGGGGUUCAUGAGGAGCUGGACAGUUCCAGGAAAAGCUGAGUGUGUGUGCACUGCGUGGAAUCUGAACCACUGGCACUUAAAAACAGAGACUGAUUAGCUGUCAAGUUCUAUGUGAAAAAUCGCAUCACAGCGUUGCAGAGACUGCAGGUUUAACAGGUUUAAGACGUGGUCAACAUGUAUCUUAAACGACCGAAGUCUGUUUGUGUGGGUUUUUUUUUUUGGUUUUUAAUGAAAGCUUUAUUAAAAAAAA